rnacentral:rRNA from 1 species
CAGCCAUGCCGCGUGUGUGAAGAAGGCCUUUUGGUUGUAAAGCACUUUAAGCAGUGAAGAAGACCUAACGGUUAAUACCCGUUAGCGAUGACAUUAGCUGCAGAAUAAGCACCGGCUAACUCUGUGCCAGCAGCCGCGGUAAUACAGAGGGUGCAAGCGUUAAUCGGAAUUACUGGGCGUAAAGCGAGCGUAGGUGGCUUGAUAAGUCAGAUGUGAAAUCCCCGGGCUUAACCUGGGAACUGCAUCUGAUACUGUUGGGCUAGAGUAGGUGAGAGGGAGGUAGAAUUUCAGGUGUAGCGGUGAAAUGCGUAGAGAUCUGAAGGAAUACCGAUGGCGAAGGCAGCCUCCUGGCAUCAUACUGACACUGAGGUUCGAAAGCGUGGGUAGCAAACAGGAUUAGAUACCCUGGUAGUCCACGCCGUAAACGAUGUCUACUAGUCGUUGGGGAACUUGAUUCCUUAGUGACGCAGCUAACGCAAUAAGUAGACCGCCUGGGGAGUACGGCCGCAAGGUUAAAACUCAAAUGAAUUGACGGGGGCCCGCACAAGCGGUGGAGCAUGUGGUUUAAUUCGAUGCAACGCGAAGAACCUUACCUGGUCUUGACAUAUCUAGAAUCCUGCAGAGAUGCGGGAGUGCCUUCGGGAAUUAGAAUACAGGUGCUGCAUGGCUGUCGUCAGCUCGUGUCGUGAGAUGUUGGGUUAAGUCCCGCAACGAGCGCAACCCUUUUCCUUAGUUACCAGCGGUUUGGCCGGGGACUCUAAGGAUACUGCCAGUGACAAACUGGAGGAAGGCGGGGACGACGUCAAGUCAUCAUGGCCCUUACGACCAGGGCUACACACGUGCUACAAUGGUAGGUACAGAGGGCAGCUACACAGCGAUGUGAUGCGAAUCUCAAAAAGCCUAUCGUAGUCCAGAUUGGAGUCUGCAACUCGACUCCAUGAAGUAGGAAUCGCUAGUAAUCGCGGAUCAGAAUGCCGCGGUGAAUACGUUCCCGGGCCUUGUACACACCGCCCGUCACACCAUGGGAGUUGAUUGCACCAGAAGUGGGUAGCCUAACUUUUAGAGGGCGCUCACCACGGUGUGGUUGAUGACUGGGGUGAAGUCGUAACAAGGUAA